CUCAGAGACAUAUGUGGAAAAAUAGGCAAGUUGGCAAGAAAAACUUAAAAUAUAUUCCAUUUUUCCAUCAUAGUGAAUUAAAAACACAUCUCUGUAGGUAGGUAUAGAUUUGAAAGUUGACAGCACUCUUGUAAAAUCAUGAUUUCUUUCAUAAAUCUUAAUUUCCAGUGGCACAAUUUUUAUUAAUAAUGGAUGCUCAUAAUUACCUUAUGAUGUGGUAUCAUUUAUUAAAAAUAAUGCAGUGAAUUAGAUAAAUGAUUACAAUAUUAAAGUGAAGGUUCAGGCAAAAUGGGGAUGAUAAUAUCUACAUUUCUGAAAAAAAAGAUGUUAUUUUAUUUAUUUAUUUUGUUUUUUAUCGAGACAGGGUUUCUCUGUGUAGCCCUGGCUGUCCUGGAACUCACUGUGUAGACCAGGCUGGCCUUGAACUCAGAAAUCUGCCUGCCUCUGUCUCCCAAAUUCUGGGAUUAAAGGCAUUCACCACCACUACCCGGCUGAUUUUAUUGUUUACCAAGAACUCACCGAGCACCACAUAUUGUCUUAAACCUCUCAAUACUUCAAAUAUGCCUCAAAGCAGCUAGACCCAACUUAAACGCAAUAAAAUGGAUGGAAAUCACUUAUGUUCCAAAAACAACUGGCUUUACUAAUCAUACCUGGAAUCUGGACCAGAAAUAUUCAAAUGCAACAGCAACUCAAUUUAUAGGAGACUGUUAAUGACUAGUUACACGUUCACACACUUGUUGGAAAUAUCAAUCCUCUGACCUUGCUUUCAAAGGAAAUGAAUAUCUUUUUACAGCCUUUUAUAUCUAAUUAUAUGACUGAUGAAGUUGGGGAAAUGAGAGUAUACUCAAGACACAUGUAAUAUAUCUAUAAUUUGAAGGGUCAUAUAAAUCUUACCAGGAAAUGUGACAGACAGAAGGCAGCCACUUCAAAACGUGCUAAAAGCAGAGUCAAAAGGGGACUGCUUCCAUCAGCACGUGUAGCCAAGUGUAGGUUUUAAAAACUCUCCCUCACUAGGAAGAAUGCGCAUAUAUAUUAUGACUAUUAUAUACUCAAUAAAAACCAAUUGACUUAAAUUACAUUUUCUGUCACAUAGUAUUAAUGUCAUCAGGCUCAUGAUAUUUAAGCAGAUAUAGGGUUCUUUAUACAAGGUCUAUCCUUAGGGAAUUAAGUUAGGCUCCAGAAAUGGUUUUGUAGUAGCUCAUUGUGUUUUAGCAUGUAAGGGAGCCAAGUACACCAAUAUAGCUGACAUAGUGCUUAUCAGUAGUCUCUUGUCUGCUUUCUACUGACACAGGGUGAUAGUAGUUUGUGGCUAAGUGGAGAUGGGAUGUGGGUGUUGAAUAGCAUCUUUAUUACCAAGGGCUUGCUUCUGCAAUCAACAAGAGGCUACUAAAUAGCAACUUUCUUAAAAAAAAAAAAAGGUUGAUUUGAUGCCAUUGAACUCUAUACUUAUUCAAGGUCAGACAGUGCAGAAAUCCAAUAGAUAUAAAAAACAUUCACAAGAGACUUUCUAUUUCUGCAGGACAAAAUCAGUCAUGUGUCCAGUCCAGGAAUAAUUGGUUAGAGAAGGCUUAAGUUCAGUUCCCACAUUCUGGAAAUUCUAGGGUCAAGAGAAGCAGCUCUGUAACCACCAUGGUGCCCAUGAUUAGAAAAAAAGAGGGAUUUCCAGAGAGGGAAAGAGUCAUGUGGGUUAUUAUAAGUAAUUUUACGAAAAAGAAACAGAUUUCCAUCCUAGAGCACAUAUGAGCAUAUGACAUUCUGGACCAACACCCUGUAAUGUCAUAAAUGCUUCUUUAAGACAAUACACAGGUUAUUGCUACAGAUUUAGAACCCUACAAUCAGGACUGGCUCACCUUCAUGGAGCGGUACCAUUUGAGGAUAGGAGAAGGCUGUGAGGAGUUGGGUAACUCUCUCUUAGGUCAGAGUACUUGGUUAUGGAGGAGGUUGAUACAGUUUGGGCCAUUUGGAGAUGCCAGUACUACUCAUCUUGCAACAAUGGACACUUUAAGAAAAUUCCCUUAGAAUUAAGGCACAGAAACAUUGUGUCACCUUUAGGAAAUCUAAUUUUCAGUGUAAAUUCCUUCUGAUUGCUAUUUUACUCAGCUGACGUGUGUGCCAGAGGUGAAGGGGAAGUAUUUGACCAAACAAUUGUUUAGACACUAUGAGUCUGAAACACUGAGUGUCAAAUAAAAAUUCCAGAAGGGACAUGAAAUCUCACCUUAGAAGGACUUCAUGGUCUUGCAUGCCAAGCUUCCACAAUCACACAGACAUUAAUCACGCUAUCCUUCUCAACUGUCUGCAUUCACAUCCUCAUUCCGCCUUUUACAAAUGGCUUUCUUCACUUCUUUGUGUGGAGGUAGAGUGGAUAGGGAUUUGCAGAGCUCAAUCCACUUUUUGGGGGGAGUCCUUUGGAUGCAAUAGCUAAGCUUGAGAGGCUGUCCCAGUUGCUUGCAUUCUGUUGUUUGGAGUUAAGUCUUUAAGAGGCAGCUGGGACCUGCACUGCAUCUGGCUAUAUUUGGGAUUAAGAAAAGAAGAAGGGAGAUGAUAUUUUCCCCAUCUGUGCCUUGGAGGAUGUCUAAUUAUCUUCUGUCCUUUCUCAAGGGGAGAAUAAAGCUAUUUAAGUAAUUUAGCUUAGGAAAAACAACACCAUCAACAACAUACGAAUUAAUUUAGGAAGCAAAGGACUAAAUGAUGUGACACGUUCUUCCUUCUCCGCAGCUCUUCAGGUUUCAAGUUCAUUGACAAGCAUGCACUUCUUAGGAAGCUUGAUCGUCAGUGAUGUAAUGUCAGCUCUCAGGCUACCUAGCUAGCAACCUUACAAACACAAACCCCAUAUCAAUUUUUGACUGGGUCACAGAAGGGUUUCUGGUGACAGCAAUACUCACUGCAUCUUACAGAGUGAAGAAGCACCUUGUAUAAAGGAGGGAGGGGGAGCGUAAGCCGGAAGGAUUAAUGACCACAGAAAACUCAAGCUAAGGAAUAAGUUGGCAUACCUUGUGAGCAAAGCAGCAUCUAAUACUGAGGAGAACUGAAGUUUUCUAGAAGAAAAGAUGCAUUGGAUCCCAGAGGGGAUCUUAACCUGCUUUUUUCAGAAAACUGCCAUUAAAGGUCUGAGGAAAGAAGAAUGGCUAAUUUGCAUAAUUUAAAUGGACUUCUCUAGCUGCCAUGGAGGACUUGGUUCACCUCAAGGCUGAGAGCAAGACCUACAAGGUGUGUAGGCAGGAAGUGAUGAGACAUGUUCCAAGGGAGGAAGGCUAGGGUGACAGGGGCAACACAGAUCUUCCAGCCACACUUGGGCAACACUGAGGAAGCAGAGACAGAGCAGACUAGGAAUUCUAAACUGAGUGCUAGAGGGUGAAGCAUCCGAGGGGAAGAAAGAAGUUGGGGAGGCAGGUAGAUAAGUGAGUCUGAGGUUUCAGACAAGAGUGGCCUCAGAAACUAAUGAACUGACCACUAAUCAGAGCUUACGGUAGCCUUUAAAAUCAAGUCAGGAAAUGAGAUUUACCGGGUGAAUCACAAGGCACAGGAAUAGGGUUCAAUAUAGAGAGUUGUGGUGUCUGGCACUUAAGGAGUCAGCCAUGCUGGUUUCAUAAAUCAUUGGAUAUCUCUAAUCUUAGCUAAUAACUACUUAAUUUUUUAUGUUGGCGAAUGUAAAUGGUAACACAUGCCCCACUUUGGCUUGGCAUUAUUUAUUAAAUACCCCCCUUUCCUUCUUAAUUUUUGUACUGUUUUUUUUUUUAUAUUUGUAUGUGAUCAAAAAGUAAGCUUGACUAUUAUCAUUUUGAGUGAGAGCAAAAAAAGUCUACUGUAUGUUUUUACUGAAGAAGAGUGCUUUAAAAUUAUAUUUAGACGUGAAUGAAAUGGCUUGAUUAUUCAGAUUACACAAAACAAUAUUAUGAUUGAAAAAUUACAACGGGAGGUUUUUAUAUGCAUUGAUUCUAUUUAUAUAAACUGGAAACUUUAGCAUCGAGAUUCAAUUCAUAGUCGAGUUUGACAACACGUAAGCGAUAAUUCAUAAACACACAUCUUAGAUGAAAGUAAUGAGUCUCUCUCAUGUGCUAUUCUUAAGUGCAAGGUAAUGAUGAUAUAGGCCCAAAAUAAAUGGGCUGUCAGAUGCCUGGCCAGAUCAUCUCCACUGUGAUAAAAAUGACUCUGUGAAAACACUAAAUAGAGCAGACAGAAGCAAAGAGGUCUACUGGAUGGAGAGGCCUUUAUUAACUCUGUGCUCUAGAUUUUCCAAUGUAUGUGCCUACCCAGAACAUGUUUAUUUGGUGUACACAGCUAUUUUAAGUUGAUGAUAGCCACUUGCCGAAAUUUUCUGAACAUUUAAGCUCCCAGUCAUCAACUCAGAAAACUGUGAGCUGUAAUUUGUAUUCCUAAAAGUUACAGAGUUUCAAUCCCCCCAAAUAUGGCAACAUUUACAACAUCUGGCCACCAAUAAGUAAUGCCAGAGAUGGGCUCUUCCAUAUGCAAUGACUGGGUUGACUAAUCUCUAUGAACCCAUUUCUUUCUCCUUCCAUUUUACACAGUGUGUAUUUGAAGCCAGCUCUGCACUGGAGACAGGUG
rnacentral:lncRNA from 1 species